UUUUGUUCCUGGACUCUUCAGUGAUGACGAUCAGAGUCUGAGUGAACCUGCUGUCAGACAGGUUGGCCUGACUGACGAUGCCAUCGUCCAUCGCCGAUGGCUGAUAGACAUUACGAUGCUGCGCCGGAAACAGCGUCAUCAGCUGCAGUAUCUCGCCCGUGCAUCUGUUGUCAUGCGACAGAGAAGUCACGUUCUAUAGACAGUUUCUAUAGACAGUUGUGAGGGUGCUGACAGCUGGUUGCCCAGGCUAUGGAUUAAAGGUAAUACUGUUGGCCAGCAGAGCCCUGCUCACCCUGACGGCCCGCCGCUGCUGUCAGACAACAUCUCCAAGAUGCUAUAAACUGCAGGACUAGAUGUCAAUCCCAAGGUUUCUAGAGAUUACACCAGCUCCAAACUGAAUCCAAACUCACUUGUGAAGACUUCAGAUGACACCAACGCUCACAAAGACUACAACUGUACAUGAACACACAAAACAUUGGACACACAAAACAAUUAUUAUCCUUAUUUUGCCUAUAAGGGUAAAUUUGAUGAUUUUCAAA